rnacentral:rRNA from 1 species
UCAAGUGACUAAGUGCAUGUGGCGGAUGCCUUGGCGAUCACAGGCGAAGAAAGACGCGGCAGCCUGCGAAAAGCUGCGGGGAGCUGGCAAACGAGCUUUGAUCCGCAGAUAUCUGAAUGGGGGAACCCACACCGCAAGGUGUAUCCGUGACUGAAUACAUAGGUUACGGAGGCGAACGAGGAGAACUGAAACAUCUAAGUAUCCUCAGGAAAAGAAAUCAACCGAGAUUCCGGCAGUAGCGGCGAGCGAACCCGGAGGAGCCUAGCUUUUGAUAGUACGAACUUUAGCCGAAAGGUCCUGGAAAGGCCUGCUAUAGUGGGUGAUAGCCCCGUAGGCGAAAGAGUUCGUAUGGUACUAAGGAAGCGAGAAGUAGAGCGGGACACGUGGAAUCCUGUUCGAAGAUGGGGGGACCAUCCUCCAAGGCUAAAUACUCGUGAUCGACCGAUAGUGAACCAGUACCGUGAGGGAAAGGCGAAAAGAACCCCGGGAGGGGAGUGAAAUAGAACCUGAAACCGCAUGCAUACAAACAGUAGGAGCCUCGUCAGAGGUGACUGCGUACCUUUUGCAUAAUGGGUCAGCGACUUACAUUCUGUGGCGAGCUUAACCGAAUAGGGGAGGCGCAGCGAAAGCGAGUUCGAAAUGAGCGUCCAGUCGCAGGGUGUAGACCCGAAACCAGAUGAGCUAUCCAUGGCCAGGUUGAAGGUGUGGUAACACACACUGGAGGACCGAACCGACUAGUGUUGCAAAAUUAGCGGAUGAGCUGUGGAUAGGGGUGAAAGGCCAAACAAAUCUGGAGAUAGCUGGUUCUCCCCGAAAACUAUUGAGGUAGUGCCUCGUGUGUCGCUCCAGGGGGUAGAGCACUGUUUUGGCUAGGGGGACAUGGAGUCUUACCAAACCAAGGCAAACUCCGAAUACCUGGAAGCGUAAGCACGGGAGACAGAGCACCGGGUGCUAACGUCCGGACUCAAAAGGGAAACAACCCAGACCGCCGGCUAAGGUCCCCAAUAACAGCUAAGUGGAAAACGAAGUGGAAAGGCCGUGACAACCAGGAAGUUGGCUUAGAAGCAGCCAUCCUUCAAAGAAAGCGUAAUAGCUCACUGGUCGAGUCCUUCUGCGCGGAAGAUGUAACGGGGCUAAGCUGUUAACCGAAGCCGCGGAUGCACUGGUUAUCCAGUGCGUGGUAGGGGAGCGUUCUGUAAGUCUGCGAAGGCGGUUCGAGAGGACUGCUGGAGAUAUCAGAAGUGCGAAUGCUGACAUGAGUAACGUUAAAGCAGGUGAAAAGCCUGCUCGCCGUAAGCCCAAGGAUUCCUGCUCUACGUUCAUCGGAGCAGGGUGAGUCGGCUCCUAAGGUCAGGCCGAAAGGCGUAGCCGAUGGGAAUCAGGUUAAUAUUCCUGAACCUGCGUCAGAUGCGAUGGGGGGACGGAGCAUGAAAGAUCAUCCGGGUGUUGGAUGUCCCGGUUGACGAGCGUAGGAGGUCUGCAGGCAAAUCCGCAGACGCAUCUCCAAGGCGAAGUCACGUGCCGCCACGGCGGCGAAGUGAUCGGAAGUGCUUCCAAGAAAAGCCUCUAAGCACCAGUCUGACGCGGACCGUACCGCAAACCGACACUGGUGGGCGAGCUGAAUAUGCUCAGGCGCUUGAGAGAACUCGGGAGAAGGAACUCGGCAAAUUGACACCGUAACUUCGGAAGAAGGUGUGCCGUAGUACCGUGAGAGGAGAGACACCUUGAGCGGGAAUCGGUCUCAGAGAAUAGGUGGCUGCGACUGUUUAUUAAAAACACAGCACUCUGCAAAGUCGAAAGACGACGUAUAGGGUGUGAUGCCUGCCCGGUGCUGGAAGAUUAAUUGAUGGGGUGAGAGCCCUUGAUCGAAGUCCCAGUAAACGGCGGCCGUAACUAUAACGGUCCUAAGGUAGCGAAAUUCCUUGUC